CCCUCGGGGCCUGCUUCCUCCCCAUGGUGUGGAUCUAGAUCGUCGACGUCUCAAACCACCUCGAUUGGCGACGGCGACGCCCCCUGCCGUGUGGAUCCGAUCAUGGGGCGGCCGCCCUGCCACUGCCCGCUCCAACGGCGGCGCGGACCUCGCCGUCUUCGAGCAGUUCGAGCGGAUGGUGCAUUGGCUUCUACGUUCCUAUGUCUUUGGAUACGUUGCUCUGAAAUGAUGCUCUGUUCAGCAAUUAAUAACUAGCUCUGAAAUGAUGCUCUAGAAUUAGCUAAUUCCAUCUGAUUCUUAGUCGGUGCCUCGUUCUUUCCUUGGUUUUUUUGCUUCUGUUGCCUCUGCUAUAUGAAAUAUGAGGUUCUUGAUCAAUCCUGGUGCUCUGGUGUCGUUGUUUUUCAGGUCCAGGGAGGGCACGAUGAUGAACCUGUCGAAUGGCUUUGCGUAAAAUUCAGAUUUUUAUUACUAAAAUAUUACUAAAAUUGCAGAUUCAGUCUGUUGCAAGAUAUGUCUAUGCAUGGAGUCAGGGUGUCAAUCAUGGAGCCAGGGUGUCAAGCAUGGUUCUGCUAUAAUACGUCAUAACCAGCCUGAAGUUUGGGCAUUUUGCUUGGGAAAUGGCUAUGCUGGAUUGAAGGAUGCUCUUGGUUCAAAUGAUUCCAGACUUCAAAGUUCCAAAUUAUAUUUCACAUGCAUGUCGCUAGCCGGGAUGCUACUUCAGUGAGACAUUGAAGCCCAUAUCAGAAGAGCACCAGGCAAGAGUUGGAGAACUAGGAGUCUUCGGCUGUCGCUACGGCCUUCGGAUUGCUCCUGUAUUCUUCAAUGGACAAUCCUUGACACGGUCACAUAAGCACAACAAGAGGAGAACCCCGACCACAGUUCCCAGUCCAAGGGCGACGAUGGCGGAUUUGCUUUUAUUGCUGAACAAUGGGAACCCUCUGUGGGUGACCGCUUGCUCGAGCCAUUAUUUGAAUUCAAGCUCCUCAUCUGUGUGAAGCUGACAGAUAGCUUACCGCUGAAAGAAUUGUUUGAGAGGUCAAUGUUGAAGCAGUUGUCUAGCUUCCCCAGCCAUGGCGGGAUAUUCCCAUCUAACUUGUUACAUGAAAUUUCCAGCACAUUGAGGCUUCCCAAGCUCUGCAGCCACGUGGGAUUUACGCCGAUGAGUAGACAGUUUGUCAGGAUGAGCACCUGCAUUGUCUCACCGCCGCGGAAAUUCCUGGUCAGCACCAAGCUUGUCAGGUUGCGCAGGUGUUGCAAGACCUGCAAUGUCUAUGCCAGGUUGUGAAACUAUUCCUGGUCAGCGAGAGGUACGACAGGGAUCUCAACUCCUUGAAGCUCUCCGGUAUCCCCCCACGAGCAUGUUCCUUGUAAGAUUCAGUGUCCUCAACUUGGUGCACACACUGAUGCCAGGAGCUAUAGCGCCACUCAGAUAGUUGGUUCCAACAUCAAAAGUAUUAAGCUUCGGCAGCAAGCUGGAGUCGAUAGCAAUCUCACCAGAGAGCGAGUUGUUCCUCAAGCUGAUUACCCUCAGCAGUGGAGAACUUUACAGGGAAGCGGGCAACUCACCAUCCAUCCUAUUGGUGGCCAGGUUUACGGACUCUAGUCUCCUCAUCUCUCCAAAGACAUCAGGGAUGGAGCCUGUGAACUUGUUAUAGGACAAGUCAAGUUGCAUGAUCUGAGAGAGGUUACCAAGGUCACUGCCGAGGUUGCCAGUGAACUGAUUUUCAUGUAAGCUCACUCUCCUCAGGUUGGGCAACGUGUACAGGUCGUCGGGAUCCCGGUGAAAUAGUUGUCGUCGAGGGAGAGCUCUGUGAGCACCCUGCACCGACAUCAGAGAUGCAGGAUGUACAUUGGUACAUGUGUGUUGGUUUUUUGUUUAACCUUCUUUAUAAUAUUUGCAAGUUGCUUUAAAAUUGAGUGCUCAUAAGAUGCAUCAAAAUGUUUCCUAUCCAAAGCUCGUAUACUAUAAUUGUUUCAUGAACUUAAUUUGUUGACACAUGACUACUAUAAAGUUCUAGAUACAACUUAA